rnacentral:rRNA from 1 species
CAAACCUCAAAUCAGGAAAGAGGACCCCUGAAUUUAAGCAUAU